ensembl:lncRNA
ACCUGCCUUCAGUAGGGGUUGCAGGAGCCCAGACUUGCCUGCAAAUCACACAAUGAGUCUGGUGGGGCUGCAUAUUUCUGGGAGAAAAUAUGAGUCAGAGCUGACUCAGAGGUACUGUAUCCUCCUCUGUCUCCAAGUAGGUAAGAAAACGGUGGAUCUGGGGGUUAAAAAUCUCAGGAGGGUAAGUGGCAGGCCCUGAGUGAUGUCAUUUCUCAUGCUUCUCUCUGAGCUCUUUAGGGAAUGAGCAUUGUCACCUCCCUGUCAUUUCCUCCAGGGCUGGAAAGAAGCUGAGAGAGAAUCCAGACCUAUUUUGACACAUCACAGAUGAAGAAACACACCCGGAGGGGUUACGUGUCUCACCUGAGGUCACAUGGUUUCUCAGCUGCCAGCGGGAGAUGCUGUGGGCUGAUCACCCAAGAGCUUCCAUGAGGCUCAAAGGAGACCACGCAUGCACCAUAAAAAUGUGUUCAAAAGCAGUUAUUGAGAAUUCAUCUAGUCCAAACUCUGGACUUAGGGAUGAGUUCGGCAAUGAAGAAAACAGACUGUGCUCUGAAGGGUUUUGCAGACUUGUGUGGGAGUUACAGUUACUUUCCUCUAUUAUCAAAUCUUUUUUUUCCAGAGAAGAUAAUAUAUGGUUCAGCAUUUUCCUUAUAUUUGCUUUUGCUCUCUGACUUGGCUGUUCCUGGACGUGGGAUGCUUGGUAGAGAAAACUGUUCACGAGGCAGGCAAUGUGAUCGAAGAGGAGAAAUGCACCAUUAUCCUUAAGAAACUAAGGAGUUGGUCCUUGAGGAAACGUCCCCAGAGGCUUAGUUCAUUUUGAAGACAUCAGAGUAACAUUAAAGCACGAACAACAAAACCAGUGAGUAAUUAUGUGGGAAGGCAAUUUGCAAAUUUGGACCUCGCAGAUUCCAUUGUUCUGAUUUGGGCAAAGAAGGAAGACACUCCAAGCUGAUGACUUGAUUUUCUAGAAUGGUGAAGAGGAAGGCUCACUUCUUAAAUACUCCCUUCCCUUGGCCAUCAAGAGACUCAGUUUUGUCUUAUGCAACACUCCCCGCUUACUGAGAUGAUCAGCCACUCAUGCCUUAAAAGAAAAAAAGAUGAUUUAGCUUUAUUCACUGGGAUCGCAAGACAUAAUCUUUGUCACGGAGAAAAAGGCAGUAUUGAUGGAAGCAAAAUUGAGAGGGAAAGGAUGAGAAACCCAAGCCUGGAGCAAGGAGUAUUGGGAUGGGGAGAGAUAACUGAAGACCCCCUGGGCCUCCAAGGUUCAGUAAAUUGUCAUGUCAAAGAGCAGUGUGAGACUUCUGGGUUCUAGGGAAUGGACUGGAGGUGGGAGAGGAGAAGAAAGUACAAUGGAAUUGCUGGAAAUAAAUGUUAUCACAUCUGCA